rnacentral:rRNA from 1 species
UACGUAGGGUGCGAGCGUUAAUCGGAAUUACUGGGCGUAAAGCGUGCGCAGGCGGUCUGUUAAGACCGAUGUGAAAUCCCCGGGCUUAACCUGGGAACUGCAUUGGUGACUGGCAGGCUUUGAGUGUGGCAGAGGGAGGUAGAAUUCCACGUGUAGCAGUGAAAUGCGUAGAUAUCUGGAGGAACACCGGUGGCGAAGGCGGCAUCCUGGACCAACACUGACGCUGAGGAGCGAAAGCCAGGGGAGCAAACGGG